GUAACGGCGAGUGAAGUGGGAAUAGCUCAGACUGAAAAUCUUCGGAGUUGUGGUCUGGAGAAGUAAGACAAAUGGUGGAAGCCUUCGUAAAGUCGCAUGGAAAGGCGCGCCAAGGAGGGUGAGAGCCCCGUUCAUACGAAGGUGGAAGUCGGCGUCUGCUUCCAUGAGUCGAGUUGUUUGGGAUUGCAGCUCUAAUUGGGUGGUAAAUUCCAUCUAAAGCUAAAUAUGGGUAGGAGACCGAUAGCAAACAAGUACCGUGAGGGAAAGAUGAAAAGAACUUUGAAAAGAGAGUGAAAAAGUACCUGCAAUUGCUGAAAAGGAACCGAUGGGAAGUAGUGUGGGUGAUGCCAGGUUCCUGGUAUGACCGGUCUCGCUUUCUUGGCUGUCGUGGGAAAAGGCCUUAAAAACCUGUCAUGAUGCCGAGGGACUGAGACAAAAUGCUUCUCAUCAACCCGUCUUGAAACACGGACCAAGGAGUCUAACAUGUGUGCGAGUGUUCGGGAUCGAAUCCCCAGCGCGAAAUGAAAGUAAAGUCCCAUUAGGGAUGAGGUAGGAGGAGUCACAUCCGCACUAUCGACCGACUAUGAUUCUACGGAAGAAAGGUUUGAGUAUGAGCAUACAUGUUGGGACCCGAAAGAUGGUGAACUAUGCCUGAAUAGGACGAAGCCAGGGGAAACUCUGGUGGAGGUCCGUAGCGAUUCUAACGUGCAAAUUGAUCGUCGAAUUUGGGUAUAGGGGCGAAAGACUAAUCGAACCAUCUAGUAGCUGGUUCCUCCCGAAAUUUCCCUUAGGAUAGCUGCAACCGAACAGUUUUAUCAGGUAAAGCGAAUGAUUAGAGGCAUCAGGGGUGGAACGUCCUUGACCUAUUCUCAAACUUUAAAUGGGUAAGAGCCCCGGGUUGCUUAAUUGAACCUGGCGGUGGAAUGACGGUUGCUAGUGGGCCAAUCUGGGUAAGCUAGAUUGGCGAUGCGGGAUGAACCGAACGUUGAGUUAAAGUGCCAAAGUAUCCGCUAACCUAGAUCCCACAAAAGGUGUUGGUUCAUUAAGACAGCAGGACGGUGGCCAUGGAAGUCGGAACCCGCUAAGGAGUGUGUAACAACUCACCUGCCGAAUGAACUAGCCCUGAAAAUGGAUGGCGCUUAAGCGGAUCACUUAUACUCAACCAAUGUGACCAGUACGACGUCACAUUGAGUAGGGGGGCGUGGGGUUUGCGGUGCAUUCUGUGGCGUGAGCCGGGAUGAAGCAGACUCUAGUGCAGAUCUUGGUAGCAGUAGCAAAUAUUCAAAUGAGAACUUUGAAGACUGAUGUGGAGAAAGGUUCCAUGUGAACAGUAAUUGGACAUGGGUGAGUCGAUCCUAAGAGAUAGGAGAAUUCUGUCGGAAUGUGUGUUUUCUUCGGAGGACACCGCCUAUCGAAAGGGAAUCGGGUUAAUAUUCCCGAACCUGGAAGUGGAUGAUAAGUGGUAACACAAGUGAAACUGGGGACGUUGGCGAGAGUCCUGGGAAGAGUUCUCUUUUCUUUUUAACAACGUUGCUUGACCUUGGAAUCGGAUUGCCCGGCGAUAAGGUGAAGUAGUUGGCAGAGCAGUGUCUCUUUUGCACUGUCCGGUGCGCUCUCGACGACCCGUGAAAACCCAGUGGAAUGAUUUAUUCACACUCCUGGUCGUACUCAUAACCGCCUCAGGUCUCCAAGGUGCGCAGCCUCUAGUCGAUAGAACA
rnacentral:rRNA from 1 species